UUUUUUUAAAAAAAGGGAAAACUUCAAAAACCCCCCCUGUGGUUUCAUGCUUUCUCACUUUAGUACCCUGUGGUUUAAAACGUAUCAAUUUGCCCCUCUGUGGUUUCGUUUUUCUCUUUUUGUUAUCAAUUUUAUUAUUAUUUUUUUCUUAAAUCAGUGACAAAGUUAAAAUUAAAGGAUACUAAAGUGAAUAUUCGAUAAAUAUAGAUGGUUAUCUGAAGUUUUUUUGUAUAUAAUUUAACGAAAUGUUAACGAAAAAGCUUCCGAAAAGAUAAAAAUGAAACCACAGGGAGGCAAAUUGAUACGUUUUAAACCACAUGGUAGUAAAGUGAGAAUGCAUGAAACCAUAUGGGGGGUUUUUGAAGUUUUCCCUUAAAAAAAAGGGUAAAA
rnacentral:lncRNA from 1 species